GAAUCUUCCAUAUUCCAGUGUGAUCCUAGACUCGGACCCAACAUCCAUCGUGAGUCGCGCUGCGUUGCGCACAGAGGACGUGCCACUAGGAGAGCAGACAGUAGCGCAGGUUCUACAAUCGGCGAAGGAGCAGCUCAAGUGGUCAUUGUUGAAAUGAAAAAAAAAAACACAUAUUGCAUUCUUUAUCUAUAAUUAAUUUUAUUCCCAUUAAAUAUAUUUACACGUAAAGAUGAUGGUAUGUUUUUAGAAAAACAUGAACAGUAUUUUUCACUACUUCAUUUUAAAGAAAUAUAGAAUCUUUAACAGUA